rnacentral:rRNA from 1 species
GCUUGACCUCAAAUCAGGUAGGAAUACCCGCUGAACUUAAGCAUAUCAA